AGUGAACGCUGGCGGCAGGCCUAAUACAUGCAAGUCGAACGGCAGCACAGCAGAGCUUGCUCUGUGGGUGGCGAGUGGCGGACGGGUGAGGAAUACGUGGGAAUCUGCCCAGUCGUGGGGAUAACGUAGGGAAACUUACGCUAAUACCGCAUGCGCCCUUCGGGGAAAGCCGGGGACCUUCGGGCCUGGCGCGAUUGGAUGAGCCCACGUCGGAUUAGCUAGUUGGCGGGUAAAGGCCCACCAAGGCGACGAUCCGUAGCUGGUCUGAGAGGAUGAUCAGCCACACUGGAACUGAGACACGGUCCAGACUCCUACGGGAGGCAGCAGUAGGGAAUAUUGGACAAUGGGCGCAAGCCUGAUCCAGCCAUGCCGCGUGAGUGAAGAAGGCCCUCGGGUGUAAAGCUCUUUUGUCCGGAAAGAAAG
rnacentral:rRNA from 1 species